rnacentral:rRNA from 1 species
CCUACGGGUGGCUGCAGUGGGGAAUAUUGCACAAUGGGGGAAACCCUGAUGCAGCAACGCCGCGUGAGCGAUGAAGGCCUUCGGGUCGUAAAGCUCUGUCCUAAGGGAAGAAUACUGACGGUACCUUAGGAGGAAGCCCCGGCUAACUACGUGCCAGCAGCCGCGGUAAUACGUAGGGGGCUAGCGUUAUCCGGAAUUACUGGGCGCAAAGGGUGCGUAGGCGGCCCUGCAAGUCAGAGGUGAGAGGCUACGGCUCAACCGUAGUAAGCCUUUGAAACUGUAGGGCUUGAGUGCAGGAUCGGUGCGUGGAAUUCGCAGUGUAGCGGGGAGAUGCGUAGAUAUUGGGAGGAACACCAGUUGCGAAGGCGGCGCUGUGAACUGUAACUGACGCUGUGUUACGAAAGCGUGGGGAGCGAACAGGAUUAGAUACCCUAGUAGUC